CAAGGACUGUGAUGUCCAGUAUGCAGAGCUGGACACGUCGGCUCUGGCUGUGUCACCCAGCCCUCGGAGCUCCAUCCAUGCAGGAGGAGACCUAGUCGAGUAUGCAACCAUCCAGCCCAACCUUCGCUAGCGCAUGUCACUCUAGGCCCUUUCCCCUCAGAUUCUGGCCUCAAGAACUUUGGAAAGUGUCACUCAGAGAUAUCGAAUGCGAGUGAUUA
rnacentral:lncRNA from 1 species